AGUGUCGUCGUGCCCACUAAAGCAUAAGUAUUUCCAAUUCAGAACCUUCCAGAAAUAGAAAACAAACGCAUUUGCCAAGGAAACGUGGCCCAAAACUAAGCAACCCCUAACAAAUAAAACAAACAAAA
rnacentral:sRNA from 1 species